rnacentral:lncRNA from 1 species
UCAGGUGUGGGAUUUAUUUCAGUACAUGCUGUGGUUAAUCUUUGUCCAUUUUAAUAUUAUGUGUUUACCAUAUGUGAGUUGCAUUAAAUUAUAUCGCUAGGGGCCCGCUCAAUGGGUCCAGGACUUCACCGUCCUUGGUAUGCCACAAUGCGAUUUCAUGUUACAGUUAGGGUUGCAACCUAUUCGCCAGGGGCCCGCUCAAUGGGUCCAGGACAUUAAAGUCCUUGGUAUGCCACCGUGCGACUUUCAGUUACGGAUGUAUUGAUCAUAUGUGAUUCUCAUUUUAUUAACGUGGACAAUGAUUGCAUGUUCCCACACUGAGUGUACCC